UGCAGUCGAACGGCAGCGCGAAAGAUGUUGCUCUCUUGGCGGCGAGUGGCGGACGGGUGAGUAAUAUAUCUGACCGUGCCCGGGGGAUGGGGAUAACUACUCGAAAGAGUGGCUAAUACCGCAUACGCCCUACGGGGGAAAGGGGGGGAUCGCAAGACCUCUCACUAUUGGAGCGGCCGAUAUCGGAUUAGCUAGUUGGUGGGGUAAAGGCUCACCAAGGAUCCGAUCCGGUCUGGUUUGAGAGGACGACCAGCCACACUGGGACUGAGACACGGACCCACUCCUACGGGAGGCGCAGAGGGGAAUUUUGGACAAUGGGGGAAACCCUGAUCCGCCAUCCCGCGUGUAUGAUGAAGGCCUUCGGGUUGUCUUUACUUUUGGCAGAGAAGAAAAGGUAUCCCCUAAUACUGGAUACUGCUGACGGUAUCUGCAGAACCGGCACCGGCUAACUACGUGCCAGCAGCCGCGGUAAUACGUAGGGUGCAAGCGUUAAUCGGAAUUACUGGGCGUAAAGCGUGUGUAGGCGGUUCGGAAAUGUGAUGUCCCCUCCCUCGGCUCAACCUUGGAACUGCAUUUUUAACUGCCGAGCUACGAGUAUGUCAUAGGGGAAUUUAAUUCCUCGUGUAGCAGUGAAAUGAUAUAGAUAUGUGAAGGAA
rnacentral:rRNA from 1 species